GACGAACGCUGGCGGCGUGCUUAACACAUGCAAGUCGAGCGGAAAGUCUCCUUCGGGGGUACUCGAGCGGCGAACGGGUGAGUAACACGUGAGUAAUCUGCCCUGUGCUCUGGGAUAGCCACCGGAAACGGUGAUUAAUACCGGAUACAACCACUAUCCGCACGGGUUGGUGGUGGAAAGUUCUUCGGCACAGGAUGUGCUCGCGGGCUAUCAGCUUGUUGGUGGGGUAAUGGCUUACCAAGGCUUUGCCGGGUAGGCGGCCUGAGAGGGUGGCCGGUCACAAUGGGACUGAGACAGGGAGCAGUCGCCUACGGGAGGCAGCAGUGGAGAAUAUUGGACAGUGGGCGGAAGCCUGGUCCAGCAGCGCCGCGUGAGGGAUGACGGGCUUCGGGUUGUAAACCUGUUUCAGUAACGACGAAGCGGAAGUGACGGUAGGUACAGAAGAAGGACCGGCCAACUACGUGCCAGCCGCCGCAGUAAUAC
rnacentral:rRNA from 1 species